rnacentral:rRNA from 1 species
UUCGCAAUGCCCGAAAGGGUGACGAAGCGACGCCGCGUGGGUGAGGAAGGCCUUCGGGUUGUAAAACCCUGUCAGGAGUUAUGAAAUGUAAGUGCGCUAAUAUCGUGCUUAUUUGACAAAGGCUCCAAAGGAAGCCACGGCUAACUCUGUGCCAGCAGCCGCGGUAAUACAGAGGUGGCAAGCGUUGUUUGGAAUUAUUGGGCGUAAAGAGCACGUAGGUGGGUUUGUAAGUCAGAUGUGAAAGCCUUCUGUUCAACGGAAGAAUUGCAUCUGAAACUGCGAGUCUUGAGUGUAGGAGGGGAGAAUGGAACUUCUGGUGGAGCGGUGAAAUGCGUAGAUAUCAGAAGGAACGCCGGCGGCGAAAGCGAUUCUCUGGCCUAUUACUGACACUCAGUGUGCGAAAGCUAGGGGAGCAAACGGGAUUAGAUACCCCGGUAGUCCUAGCCGUAAACGAUGGGCACUAGGUAGAGGGGUUUU